UCUUAGGGUACACUGCUUAAAUAUUGCAAUUAUAGGGACCAAUCUUAGGGUACACUUUUUUAAAUUCUCGACCCCUCUUUCGUCCACCUAGACAACUCACAAAACCCACCCCUAGCCUCUUUAAGUGAUGACGCAGUUAAACCCUACUUUCUACUGUAUUUUUACAUGAUGUUUUUUUAUAAAAAAUUACAUUUACAUGAUAAUUUAUUAUUUUCGAGAUUAUUUUAGUACCAAACAUAAGCCAUUUGCAGUUGAGGGAUAGUUUUUUUUUGUGAUGGAUUGUCAAGGGUUAAGUUUUAAGCUUUCAAACCAAACACAAAGGGUUGGAAUUCUUAAGAAGUCGCAGUAGGCGGCUGUUCCGGUGAAAAUCGGAUUUUGUCCGGUUUUCUGACCGCUGCAUUCCAUGGAAUCGGGUAUCAAACUGAGGCCGGAACAGUUUGGCUAUUCCGGAUGACCGCUGAUGGCCCGGAUCUUCCGUACCGCCUGGCGCACUCCUCCCAGAAGUACCACCGUUACGCGCUACUCCUUGAAGCUUCUCGGAAGUGGCAUCUGGAAGCCACGGCAGGGAGAAUUCGGCUUCUAGAAAAACUGGACCGCAAACUCGUGGAGCUGACUCUUGCUUCCAUUUCCAGACCAGCUUUUCGAGAACCAUGUUCCGGAUCAACAAUGUAGAGUGCCAAAAAAGCGGAUCUCAACGUUUUUGAGCAAGCGAACGGCUGAGAUGGUCCCGGCAAACAUCCCGGCCAAGUGUUUGAAGAACCAGAGCAAACAAACGGUAUCUGGACCGUAGGCGGAUGGCCGCCGUCGAUUUCCGCGUGAACAUCGAUGUUCCGGCAGAAACGCAGGUUCUGACAGGUUCCUAACCAGGGAGAACGGUAUCAUCAGAUAUCAUUCAAUCAUAUCGAGUGUAGUUAUUGUUUAGAAUGUAUAUUUAGUUAAAAAUCAUGAAUAAAAUGCACUUUUUCGAUCGUUUUUUCAUUUCAUGAAAAUUAAAAUAAAGCCAUGAAAAUAAACAAACUGCAGUUUUAUUUCUCCCCACUGCCAUCAGAUGUCGCCCUACGAGCUUUCAGCAACAGAAUUAUUCCACCACCAGAUGUCGCUUUGAUGUAAGCUAUUAUGAUGAGCUUUCAAGCUUUUUCGGGACUUUUCUGCAGUUCAAUUAAUCAAAUCAAGUUGGCGCCACUGGUCAAUUUAGGCUGGCAAAGCAUGCUGUCAAAUUUAGGAAUUUGGUUACUUCUUGCGAAGAAGGAAGCCAAAUUACUAAAUA